rnacentral:rRNA from 1 species
AUACGGAGGGUGCAAGCGUUGUUCGGAUUUAUUGGGCGUAAAGCGAGUGUAGGCGGCUUGACAAGUCGGAUGUGAAAUCCCGGGGCCCAACCCCGGAACUGCAUCCGAUACUGUCAGGCUAGAGUCCCGGAGAGGGUGGCGGAAUUCCCGGUGUAGGGGUGAAAUCCGUAGAUAUCGGGAGGAACACCAGUGGCGAAGGCGGCCACCUGGACGGUGACUGACGCUGAGACUCGAAAGCGUGGGUAGCAAACAGGAUUAGAUACCCCAGUAGUCC